CUUGACACUGAACAUUGAGCCUUGAUGUGUAGGAUAGGUGGGAGGCUUUGAAGCGUGGACGCCAGUCUGCGUGGAGCCGACCUUGAAAUACCACCCUUUAAUGUUUGAUGUUCUAACGUUGGCCCCUUACCGGGGUUGCGGACAGUGUCUGGUGGGUAGUUUGACUGGGGCGGUCUCCUCCCAGCGCGUAAGCGAGGAGCCGGAAG
rnacentral:rRNA from 1 species